rnacentral:tRNA from 1 species
AUUUAAAUAGCUUAUAAUUAGAGUUUAAUAUUGAAGAUAUUAAGGAAAUAAAAAUUUUUAAAUA